rnacentral:lncRNA from 1 species
UGAGCUCCAGGUGAGCCCAGGUGAGCCCCAGGUGAGUUCAGGUGAGCCCCAGGUGUGAUCAGGUGACCCCCAGGUGUGCUCACCAUCAUCCAAGGGGACAAACCCAGGUACUGAGAAGGCCCCGCCCAACCCAGGUGUGCACCUGGAGCACCCCAAAAAUCCAUCCCGAGCUCAGGUGAGGGCUCAGGUGAGUCCUGGCAGGUCUGGGGUCACACCUGGCUGCAGGUGAACCCCAGGGGUCUCCCAGUUCUUCAUCCGCUGUCGGUGACGUCACAGCUCAGGUGAGACCACGCCGGGGCCUCACCUGGAGCCCAGGUGCUGCAGUUCGGGGUUCACACCUGGAGUUCAGGUGUGGCAGUUUGGGGUUCACACCUGGAGCUCAGGUGCUGCAGUUUGGGGUCCACACCUGGUUCAGGUGUUGCAGUUCAGGGUUCACACCUGGAGCUCAGGUGUUGCAGUUUGGGGUCCACACCUGGCUCAGGUGUUGCAGUUUGGGGUUCACACCUGGAGUUCAGGUGUUGCAGUUUGGGGUCCACACCUGGUUCAGGUGUUGCAGUUCAGGGUUCACACCUGGAGUUCAGGUGUUGCAGUCCGGGUGUUAUGGUUCAGGGUCCACACCUGGCUCAGGUUCUCUCACCUGGAGUUCAGGUGUUGCAGUCCAGGUGUCACAGAUGCUGUUUUUGGGGGUCAAAACCACAAUUUUGGGGAGCUCCACACCCGUCCUGGCUCACAGGUGCUGAAUCCUUCCACCUGGGGCUCAGCUGUUGCAGUCCAGGUGUCACAGCUGCCGUUUUUUGGGGUCAAAACCACAAUUUUGCGGGGCUCCACACCUGUCCUGGCUCACAGGUGCUGGCUCCCCUCACCUCAGGGGCUCAGGUGUCGCGGUGCACGCGCCGGUGCUGCAGCAGGUUGGACGGGUGCGCGAACNNNNNNNNNNNNNNNNNNNNAGGUGUUGCAGUCCAGGUGUUCCCGCUGGCUUUUUUUGGGCUCCACACCCAUCUUGGGGCUGCAGCACCUCCACCCUCCCCUCACCUGGGGCUCAGGUGUUGCAGUCCAGGUGUCACAGCUACCGUUUUUUGGGGUCAAAACCACAAUUUUGGGGGGCUCCACACCCGCCCCGGCUCACAGGUGCCGGCUCCCCUCACCUGAGGGGC